CGCGGGAUAGAGCAGCCUGGUAGCUCGUCAGGCUCAUAACCUGAAGGCCGCUGGUUCGAAUCCAGCUCCCGCAC
rnacentral:tRNA from 1 species